rnacentral:rRNA from 1 species
UUGACCGUGCAAGGUAGCGCAAUCACUUGUCUUUUAAAUGAAGACCUGUAUGAAUGGCAUAACGAGGGCUUAACUGUCUCCUUUUUCUGGUCAAUGAAAUUGAUCUCCCCGUGCAGAAGCGGGGAUAAGCCCAUAAGACGAGAAGACCCUGUGGAGCUUUAGACAACAGGACAGACCAUGUUAACAGCUUCUGAUCAAGGAAAAGAACCGAUUGGACCUCUGCCCUAAUGUCUUUGGUUGGGGCGACCGCGGGGGAACAUCAAUCCCCCAUGUGGAAUAGGAGCACCCCUCCUACAACCAAGAGCUACGGCUCUAAGCAACAGAACUUCUGACCAUCAAGAUCCGGCAACGCCGAUCAACGAACCGAGUUACCCCAGGGAUAACAGCGCAAUCCUCUUUUAGAGCCCAUAUCGACAAGGGGGUUUACGACCUCGAUGUUGGAUCAGGACAUCCUAAUGGUGCAGCCGCUAUUAAGGGUUCGUUUGUUCAACGAUUAAAGUCCUACGUGAU